CAGCAGCCGCGGUAAUACCGGCGGCCCGAGUGGCGGCCACUAUUAUUGGGCUUAAAGCGUCCGUAGCCGGGUUGGUUAGUCUCCCGGGAAAUCUGGCCGCUUAACGGUCAGAAUUCCGGGAGAUACUGCCAGCCUAGGGACCGGGAGAGGCCGAGGGUAUUCCCGGAGUAGGGGUGAAAUCCUAUAAUCCCGGGAGGACCACCUGUGGCGAAGGCGCUCGGCUGGAACGCGCCCGACGGUGAGGGGCGAAAGCCGGGGGAGCGAACCGGAUUAGAUCCCCGGGUAGUCCCGGCUGUAAACGAUGCGGGCUAGCUGUUGGGUGGGCUUAGAGCCCACCCAGUGGCGCAGGGAAGCCGUUAAGCCCGCCGCCUGGGGAGUACGGCCGCAAGGCUGAAACUUAAAGGAAUUGGCGGG
rnacentral:rRNA from 1 species